GACGAACGCUGGCGGCGUGCUUAACACAUGCAAGUCGAACGGAAAGGCCCUGCUUUUGUGGGGUGCUCGAGUGGCGAACGGGUGAGUAACACGUGAGUAACCUGCCCUUGACUUUGGGAUAACUUCAGGAAACUGGGGCUAAUACCGGAUAGGAGCUCCUGCUGCAUGGUGGGGGUUGGAAAGUUUCGGCGGUUGGGGAUGGACUCGCGGCUUAUCAGCUUGUUGGUGGGGUAGUGGCUUACCAAGGCUUUGACGGAUAGCCGGCCUGAGAGGGUGACCGGCCACCUUGGGACUGCGAUACGGCCCAGACUCCUACGGGAGGCAGCAGUGGGGAAUAUUGCACAAUGGGCGGAAGCCUGAUGCAGCAACGCCGCGUGCGGGAUGACGGCCUUCGGGUUGUAAACCGCUUUCGCCUGUGACGAAGCGUGAGUGACGGUAAUGGGUAAAGAAGCACCGGCUAACUACGUG
rnacentral:rRNA from 1 species